CGGUCACAUCAUGUUGAAACACCGGUUCACUUACGAUCACUGAAGUUAAGCAACAUCAAACCUGGUCAGAACUAGAUGGGUGAUCGCUUGAGAACACUAGGUACUGUAA